AUGAACGCUAGCGACAGGCUUAACACAUGCAAGUCGAGGGGCAGCACAGGUAGCAAUACCGGGUGGCGACCGGCGCACGGGUGAGUAACGCGUAUGCAACUUACCUAUCAGAGGGGGAUAACCCGGCGAAAGUCGGACUAAUACCGCAUGAAGCAGGGGCCCCGCAUGGGGAUAUUUGCUAAAGAUUCAUCGCUGAUAGAUAGGCAUGCGUUCCAUUAGGCAGUUGGCGGGGUAACGGCCCACCAAGCCGACGAUGGAUAGGGGUUCUGAGAGGAAGGUCCCCCACAUUGGUACUGAGACACGGACCAAACUCCUACGGGAGGCAGCAGUGAGGAAUAUUGGUCAAUGGGCGCGAGCCUGAACCAGCCAAGUCGCGUGAGGGAUGAAGGUUCUAUGGAUCGUAAACCUCUUUUAUAAGGGAAUAAAGUGCGGGACGUGUCCCGUUUUGUAUGUACCUUAUGAAUAAGGAUCGGCUAACUCCGUGCCAGCAGCCGCGGUAAUACGGAGGAUCCGAGCGUUAUCCGGAUUUGUUGGGUUUAAAGGGUGCGUAGGCGGCCUUUUAAGUCAGCGGUGAAAGUCUGUGGCUCAACCAUAGAAUUGCCGUUGAAACUGGGGGGCUUGAGUAUGUUUGAGGCAGGCGGAAUGCGUGGUGUAGCGGUGAAAUGCUUAGAUAUCACGCAGAACCCCGAUUGCGAAGGCAGCCUGCCAAGCCAUGACUGACGCUGAUGCACGAAAGCGUGGGGAUCAAACAGGAUUAGAUACCCUGGUAGUCCACGCAGUAAACGAUGAUCACUAGCUGUUUGCGAUACAUUGUAAGCGGCACAGCGAAAGCGUUAAGUGAUCCACCUGGGGAGUACGCCGGCAACGGUGAAACUCAAAGGAAUUGACGGGGGCCCGCACAAGCGGAGGAACAUGUGGUUUAAUUCGAUGAUACGCGAGGAACCUUACCCGGGUUUGAACGCAUUUCGACCGCUCUGGAAACAGAGCCUCUAGCAAUAGCGAUUUGCGAGGUGCUGCAUGGUUGUCGUCAGCUCGUGCCGUGAGGUGUCGGCUUAAGUGCCAUAACGAGCGCAACCCUUGCCACUAGUUACUAACAGGUGAUGCUGAGGACUCUGGUGGGACUGCCAGCGUAAGCUGCGAGGAAGGCGGGGAUGACGUCAAAUCAGCACGGCCCUUACAUCCGGGGCGACACACGUGUUACAAUGGCGUGGACAAAGGGAAGCCACCUGGCGACAGGGAGCGAAUCCCCAAACCACGUCUCAGUUCGGAUCGGAGUCUGCAACCCGACUCCGUGAAGCUGGAUUCGCUAGUAAUCGCGCAUCAGCCAUGGCGCGGUGAAUACGUUCCCGGGCCUUGUACACACCGCCCGUCAAGCCAUGGGAGCCGGGGGUACCUGAAGUCCGUAACCGCGAGGAUCGGCCUAGGGUAAAACUGGUGACUGGGGCU
rnacentral:rRNA from 1 species